GUGGCCCACCAAGACGAUGAUCUGUAUACCGGCCUGAGAGGGCGCACGGACACACUGGAACUGAAACACGGUCCAGACUCCUACGGGAGGCAGCAGUGGGGAAUUUUGCGCAAUGGGGGAAACCCUGACGCAGCAACGCCGCGUGGAGGAUGAAAUAUCUUGGUAUGUAAACUCCUUUCGAUGGGGAAGAUAAUGACGGUACCCAUAGAAGAAGCCCCGGCUAACUUCGUGCCAGCAGCCGUGGUAAUACGAGGGGGGCAAGCGUUGUUCGGAAUUAUUGGGCGUACAGGGUGCGUAGG
rnacentral:rRNA from 1 species